AUACGUAGGUGGCAAGCGUAGUCCGGAUUUACUGGGUGUAAAGGGCGUGUAGGCGGAGAUGCAAGUCAGGAGUGAAAUCUAGGGGCUCAACCCCUAAACUGCUUUUGAAACUGUAUCCCUUGAGUAUCGGAGAGGCAGGCGGAAUUCCUAGUGUAGCGGUGAAAUGCGUAGAUAUUAGGAGGAACACCAGUGGCGAAGGCGGCCUGCUGGACGACAACUGACGCUGAGGCGCGAAAGCGUGGGGAGCAAACAGGAUUAGAUACCCUGGUAGUCCACGCUGUAAACGAUGAAUACUAGGUGUGGGGGGACUGACCCCCUCCGUGCCGCAGUUAACACAAUAAGUAUUCCACCUGGGGAGUACGAUCGCAAGAUUGAAACUCAAAGGAAUUGACGGGG
rnacentral:rRNA from 1 species